rnacentral:rRNA from 2 species
AAAUUGAAGAGUUUGAUCAUGGCUCAGAUUGAACGCUGGCGGCAGGCCUAACACAUGCAAGUCGAACGGUAACAGGAAGCAGCUUGCUGCUUCGCUGACGAGUGGCGGACGGGUGAGUAAUGUCUGGGAAACUGCCUGAUGGAGGGGGAUAACUACUGGAAACGGUGGCUAAUACCGCAUAACGUCGCAAGACCAAAGAGGGGGACCUUCGGGCCUCUUGCCAUCAGAUGUGCCCAGAUGGGAUUAGCUUGUUGGUGAGGUAACGGCUCACCAAGGCGACGAUCCCUAGCUGGUCUGAGAGGAUGACCAGCCACACUGGAACUGAGACACGGUCCAGACUCCUACGGGAGGCAGCAGUGGGGAAUAUUGCACAAUGGGCGCAAGCCUGAUGCAGCCAUGCCGCGUGUAUGAAGAAGGCCUUCGGGUUGUAAAGUACUUUCAGCGGGGAGGAAGGUGUUGCGGUUAAUAACCGCAGCAAUUGACGUUACCCGCAGAAGAAGCACCGGCUAACUCCGUGCCAGCAGCCGCGGUAAUACGGAGGGUGCAAGCGUUAAUCGGAAUUACUGGGCGUAAAGCGCACGCAGGCGGUCUGUCAAGU